GAUGAACGCUAGCUACAGGCUUAACACAUGCAAGUCGAGGGACCGGCGCACGGGUGAGUAACACGUAUCCACCCUGCCCUUUACUCGGGGAUAGCCUUUCGAAAGAAAGCUUAAUACCCGAUGUAAAGGAUGGGGAUGCGUUCCAUUAGGUUGUUGGUGAGGUAACGGCUACCCAAGCCUUCGAUGGAUAGGGGUUCUGAGAGGAAGGUCCCCAACAGUGGAAAUGAGACCCGGUCCAAACUCUGACGUGAGGCAGCAGUGAGGAAUAUUGGGCAAUGGGCGUGAGCCUGAACCAGCCAAGUAGGGUGAAGGAUGAAGGGUUAGGGGACGUAAACUUCUUUUAUAUAAGAAUAUGUAUUAGAUGAAUAAGGAUCGGCUAACUCCGUGCCAGCCGCCGCGGUAAUUC
rnacentral:rRNA from 1 species